rnacentral:rRNA from 1 species
AUUGAACGCUGGCGGCCGGCCUAACACAUGCAAGUCGAACGAGUGGCGGACGGGUGAGUAAUGUCUGGGAAACUGCCUGGUGGAGGGGGAUAACUACUGGAAACGGUAGCUAAUACAGCAUACCAUCGGAGGUGGCCAGAAGGGAUUAGCUAGUAGGUGGGGGAAAGGCUCACCAAGGAGACGAUCCCUAGCUGGGCUGAGAGGAUGACCAGCCACAUUGGAACUGAGACCCGGUCCAGACUCCUCAGGAAGGCAGCAGUGGGGAAGAUUGCACAAUGGGCACAAGCCUGAUGCAGCCAUGCCGCGUGUAUGAAGAAGGCCUUCGGGUUGUAAAGUACUUUCAGCGGGGAGGCGUUACCCGCAGAAGAAGCACCGGCUAACUCCGUGCCAGCAGCCGCGGUAAUUC